UACAGAGGGGGCAAGCGUUGUUCGGAAUUACUGGGCGUAAAGGGCGCGUAGGCGGCCUGCUAAGUCGAACGUGAAAUCCCCGAGCUCAACUCGGGAACUGCGUCCGAUACUGGCAGGCUUGAAUCCGGGAGAGGGAUGCGGAAUUCCAGGUGUAGCGGUGAAAUGCGUAGAUAUCUGGAGGAACACCGGUGGCGAAGGCGGCAUCCUGGACCAAUAUUGACGCUGAGGAGCGAAAGCCAGGGGAGCAAACGGG
rnacentral:rRNA from 1 species